rnacentral:rRNA from 1 species
CCUACGGGUGGCAGCAGUAAGGAAUAUUGGUCAAUGGACGCAAGUCUGAACCAGCCAUGCCGCGUGGAGGAUGAAGGUCCUCUGGAUUGUAAACUUCUUUUAUUUGGGAAGAAACCCACGAUUUCUAUUGUGGUUGACGGUACCAGAUGAAUAAGCACCGGCUAACUCCGUGCCAGCCGCCGCGGUAAUACGGAGGGUGCAAGCGUUAUCGGGAUUCACUGGGUUGUAGGCGUGCAUGGGCGGGCGGGGUGAAAUCCCCGGGCGUAACUUGGGAACUGCCGUUGAUACUAUCUGUCUUGAAUACUGUGGAGGUAAGCGGAAUAUGUCAUGUAGCGGUGAAAUGCUUAGAUAUGACAUAGAACACCUAUUGCGAAGGCAGCUUGCUACACAGUCAUUGACGCUGAGGCACGAAAGCGUGGGGAUCAAACAGGAUUAGAUACCCUGGUAGUC